CUCUCUCUCUCUCUCUCUCUCUCUCUCUCUCUCUCCAUCCAUCCCCCUCUCUCUCUCUUCAUCCAUCCCCCUCUCUCUCUCUCUCUCCAUGAUCUGUCUGUAACCUGCCAGGUGAUCUGUCUGUAACCUGUCAGGUGGUCUGAUGCUGUCAGGUGAUCUGUCUGUAACCUGCCAGUUGCUCUGUCUGUAACCUGCCAGGUGGUCUGUCUGUAACCUGUCAGGUGAUCUGUCUGUAACCUGCCAGGUAAUCUGUCUGUAACCUGCCAGGUGAUCUGUCUGUAACCUGUCAGGUGAUCUGUCUGUAACCUGCCAGGUGAUCUGUCUGUAACCUGCCAGGUGAUCUGUCUGUAACCUGCCAGGUGAUCUGUCUGUAACCUAUGUCCUCGAUGCCAUAGAAGGAUGUCCCUAUGUCCUCGAUGCCAUAGAAGGAUGUCCCUAUGUCCUCAAUGCCAUAGAAGGAUGUUCCCUAUGUCCUCGAUACCAUAGAAGGCUGUUCCCUAUGUCCUCAAUACCAUAAAGGCUGUUCCCUAUGUCCUCAAUGCCAUAGAAGGCUGUUCCCUAUGUCCUCGAUGCCAUAGAAGGCUGUCCCCUAUGUCCUCGAUGCCAUAGAAGGCUGUUCCCUAUGUCCUCGAUGCCAUAGAAGGCUGUUCCCUAUGUCCUCAAUGCCAUAGAAGGCUGUCCCCUAUGUCCUCGAUGCCAUAGAAGGCUGUUCCCUAUGUCCUCGAUGCCAUAGAAGGCUGUUCCCUAUGUCCUCGAUGCCAUAGAAGGCUGUUCCCUAUGUCCUCGAUGCCAUAGAAGGCUGUCCCUAUGUCCUCAAUGCCAUAGAAGGCUGUCCCUAUGUCCUCAAUGCCAUAGAAGGC
rnacentral:lncRNA from 1 species